rnacentral:rRNA from 1 species
GACGAACGCUGGCGGCGUGCCUAAUACAUGCAAGUAGGACGCAGUUGCGAACGGGUGAGUAACGCGUAGGUAACUGCCUAUUAGAGGGGGAUAACUAUUGGAAACGAUAGCUAAUACCGCAUACUAGUAGAUGGACCUGCGUUGUAUUAGUUAGUAGGUAGGGGAAUGGCCUACCUAGGAAACGAUACAUAGCCGACCUGGGAGGGGGAUCGGCCAACAUUGGACCGGGACACGGCCCAGACUCCCACGGGAGGCAGCAGGAGGGAAUCUUCGGCCAUGGGGUGAAACCUGACCGGGCCAAGCCGCGUGAGUGAAGAAGGGUUUCGGAUCGUAAAGCUCUGUUGGUAAGGAAGCGGUACUUAACCAGAAAGGGACGGCUAACUACGUGCCAGCAGCCGCGGUAAUAC